GCCACAGACACUCACAGCCCAGGGGAGGAAGACAUCACACCUCGUGGGGCCACAUGGGCGUGGCACUCAGGAGCAGAGUGAGAACACAACGAGAUGGUGGCCCCCUGCACACCAGGAGGGGGCUCUCACCAGGAGCUGGCCCUGCUGGCACCUGGAUCUUGGAUUUCCUCUAGAACUGUGAGACUUUAAUGUCUGCUGGUCAAGACGCCCCAUGUGCUGCAUACUGUUGUGGCAGCCGGAGCUGAUCAGACAUGGCGUGGCCUUCCUGUGACCCUGCUGGAUGCCUGAGAUGGCCGACACAUUUCCUACCACUUGACUGGCCAGAACCCAACCAGUCCAGCCCUGUGCGGCCCGCUAGCUGGUCCUUGCAGCAUCCUCACGCUCAUUCCCGAGGAGCUGCUUCUGCCUGGCCCUGUGUGCACACGCAGCUCAGUAUUUGACAAAAACCCCAGCAGACCCCCAUUCCUAUUUCUGGGCUCCCUCUUUGGCACCCGACCCUGAAAACCCUUGGUACCUCCAAUUCCAGCCUCCUCCGCCCAGCAGGGUGGCCCCAUGUGCUCUGUGGGGUCUCCUCUUACUGCACUGUUGUCCAGACAAUAAGCAAGAGCAGUCGCGCAAACCUCCUUGCUUUGCUCUGUCUGGCACGCCUGUUGCGUGAUCUGUGGGCAGUUAGUUCAUACAGUUUAGAGUUACCGAUGGCGGAAGGGACAGUCAGUUACUCCAGGGCAGCCAGAAGCAGAAGUCCACAUGGGUGAUGUCUGAGGAUGUUCCCACUGGUUGACUUCUAUUUUCUGUGCCAAUGGCUGGACGAUAUCACCCCCAAAGAGUGCAGCAUGGAGGUGAGAGGGGUGGAGAAGGAACCACAGAAUUGCAAUGGUGCUGAGGGCCGCCAGACCAUGCUUUAACACGGCAGUGGUGGACAGCGCACAUAGCAGAGUUCAGCAGGCUGGGUGGCCUGGAGACCGUAAACUAAGGAGCACACGGGUGGGCACCCGGAUGGUGGGAGGAGUGUCUGGGACAAAAGAUGGACGUGGAGGUGCUUGAAGAGGCAGUGAGGGACUAGAGGGAUGUAAGCUUUGGGAAUGGGUUGGGGGCGAGCAGAGGACCUCAGAAGCUCGGGACACCCUGCAGUGUGGUCAUGGAGGGGAUAGCAGAAGCAGAGUAGGGGGGGAAUUAGAGAUGAGGAGGCAAUAAAGACCUGAGUGGCUACAAAAAACCUGAGUUUUCCCCUGAAUGCUAGAUGUUGCCAAGUCUCAGUGUGACAAGGAACACAGUGAACUCAGGGCUAAAAUCCUUAACUAAGGAGGCAGGUCAAAGGUCAGCUGGUCACUGUGGGGCAGCUGAUCACAGAGUGCUGCAGCUCCCAGCCUGCUCUCCCAAGGUGUGCAGUAUCUGCAGAGAGCUGAGGCCCUGGCGAGUUCACAGCCCAGCCCCCUGAGCCCACACCAUGGGAACCUGGCCCCCAACGUAGGGGCCGAGCCUGUGCUGGAGACCAUGGUCUCCCCACAGGUGGGAGUGACUGUCUAACCAUUUCUGAUCUGCACAAGAGCACUGUGUGGGUAGUCGGAGCCCUGGGUGGGGGCCUGAGCACCUUGGCAUGAGAUGGACGCAAGGGAAGCAUCUCAGGGCUGGUGCAAGCCUCUCUCUGGGCCAGGGGACAGUAGGAGACCAAGGGGUGAGGGUGGCAUGGGUCAGGUGGCUUCAGCGAGAAGCUGCAAGUCCAGAAUGGGGCCAGGGGCAGCUGGGCUGUGGGAGGGAAGAAGAGGGGGCAGAGGAGAUGAGGAUCUGGGAGAGAACAGGUGACUUGGGACCCUAUGCCCUGGAUGGUGACUAAGGGUGACAGGGACUUGGGAUGGGGAAAAUUGACUCUAUCAAAGUCUUCAAAGCUGGAGUCCCAGUGACUUCUCCACGGGUGAGCAGUCAGGGCCUUGUCCGGCAGUGUUGCAGAGGGUCUGCCCACAGCCUGGAGGUCUGCUCGCGGACCCCUGGGGACCUGUGCUUGGACCCAGGGCUUUAGAUGGCUGCUCAACCCAUGAUUUACAGACUGGGGACCUCAGGUAAGUCCUCCAGCCAUGGGGAGUUUAGGACAUGCUUUCUGCCUCCCCACUCGCCUCUCCUGUUUCUGUUGGGACAUCCCCUCCCAGAGUCUC